GAGGUGUUAAUCCUAGGCGAGCGCUUCUUUUGAGUCUUGUCCCAAACGGGAAGUUGUUUCCUGUUCCUGUGUUGAGUCAUAUGAUGUGACAGGAGGCAGGAACACGCCUGUCUGCCUGUGACUGUCUGUUACAGAGGAGAGGAACCCUACACAACUACAACAGCAAAGACAAAAACAAAAAAGAAAGCAAAAAAGAGGAAGGCAAGCGAAAGUUGACUCAUUCUCUCGGUGAGACAUGCGCGCCGAUGCGGUGAGUCGCUGCCUCUUGCCGGCAGGGCUACAGCGACCGCUCGGCCCGUCGGAGCCUCUUUUCGAGGCUGCCGUGAUCUGAAAGCCCGGGGUGCGUUUUGACGGGAUGGACAACAAUGAGGAGCUGGAGGAGAGGCUGAGGAGGCUCCUGGUAAGGCUCAGGAGCCCCCAGGAAGACCGGCAGCUGUGCACGCUCAUCCAGAUACUCCAGGAUCUGCUCUUCCUGGCGCACACCGACCAUGCAUGCCAGCUGUUUGCAGACAAAGACAUCCACGAGCCAAUCACGGCCGCACUGAUGUCGCACAUAGACAGCAGAGGAGUCCAGCAGGUGGGCUGGUCGCUGCUGUGUCAACUGAUGGAAACGUGUCCGGGUAUGUUGGAGCACCUAAACAUACCUCAGCAGCAGAUCCUGAGGGUUCUGUCGCAGUACCACGCAGACAGCCGGGUUACUAUGGUCGUGCUCCGAGCCCUGGCCCUCCUUCUGCGGUCAGACGCCAUCGCCCUGCUGCUACUGGAGGACGAAGAGGAGGACGUGUUCGGCCUGGCGGUGCAGGCCAUGAAGGCUUUCCCCUUCAGCGAGGAGGUGCAGCUCCAAGGCUGCCGAGCUCUGCAAGCGCUCCUUUGUCGAGUGAGUGACGAGCACCUGGUAGAGUUUGUGGAGAACCAGGACCAUUUGGUGGUUCUCGGCGCUCUGCAUGGGUUCCCAGACAACCCAGAGGUGCUGCUGCAGGCCAUGAAGGUUGUCCUCCCUCUGUCUGGACCCAGCAGUAACGUGGAGAUGUUGAUGUCCGGCAGCGUUCGCUGCUAUAGCGUGCUCAUCUCGGCCAUGGACACUUUCCCACAGGAUGAGGAGCUUCAGGAGACGGCGUGUCGCCUGUUCCGGAGGUUCACAUCAGAGAGCUACUACAACAUCCUGGUGUUGAACGGCGUGGCCCGGGUGGCGUUAAGGGCUUGUCAGACAUUCCCCCGGAACGCCACGUUACAGGCCACCGCCCUCUCUUGCCUGGCAGACCUCACGUCCAGCAUGGUGCAGAGCAGAGCGGCGGCCGAGCAGGGCUUGGAGGACGGUGAGGCGGAGGAAAACCGGGGUGGCGGCUCAGAGCAGGUGGAGAACUUGGACCUGGGCUGGAUGGAGGCCUGCUGCAGAGCGUUGGAUCUCCACGCCGCAGAACCAUGCGUUCAGGAAGCUGCAUGCUGGGCCAUUCACAGUCUGUUGGUGCACGGAGCUGGAAGGAGUCAUCCAGAAGAGGAGCAGGAUGAUCGGACUCCUGUUCACAGACAGCUGAUGGCGGCCAUGUUGCUUCACUCCUCCUCGCCCCGCGUCUUCGAGGCCGCCACCAGUGCCAUCGCCACGCUGGUCACGCAAAAUCCUAAGAUGCGCUCCAUGCUGCUGUCCAGUGGCCUCCACGUCAACGUUGUGGAGAUGAUGAAGAGGCACCCGGCCUCGGUCCAGGUAUCGGUCAGCGCCUGCCACCUUCUCACCCUCCUCUUCCGGGGUAGGACAGCCGGCCUGGACGAGCUCAACAUGGCUAUGGGUCAGAUCCUAAACGUCAUGAAAGUCCACAACUUCCAGCCAGAGGUUCAGCUGGAGGCUCUGUGGGCCAGUCUGGUCUUCCUCUGUCCAGACCGGAGCUUACGGGAGCACGGGACCUCGGUGGCUGACCCUGACAUGGUUGACGUGUCCCUAAAGGUCCUGAAGAACCAGUGUGUGGUAGAGGGAGCACAUGCCGUCUACCUGGAGGUCCUCAACAGGUUCAUCAGGUGUCCAACCAUCCAGGUGUGCGGCCUGAAGGUGCUCUCCGCCCUGGCUGACUGCUCAGGUGCAGUGGACUUGCUCUGCCAACAGGGGGCCAUCGACACGGUGCUCCACACGCUACAAAUGUUCCCGCAGGAUCGAGAAAUUCAUUACUGGGGUCUGACCCUGCUCAGUCACCUGGUAUCCAAGAAGAAGCUCUCCAGGAUGAUUGUUCCCGUCCUGGCCUCGGUCCUGGUGGCCUCCCUGAGCCAGCACAAGGAGGAUUAUGAUUUACUGCUCAAGUGUUUCCAGGUGGCGCUGAGGUUGCUGGACGCCUGUUCAGGAUCAGCUGUGGAGUUGCAGAGGGAAGACUUUGACCGGCAGAUAUUCCAACUUCUCAGAGAGUCCGAUAUUCCCGAGCACUGCAAGAAUCCAUUGCGUCGGUCGGCGUGCUUGGCUCUGUCCAAGAUGUGCGCCAACUCGGAGCUACACUACAGUAUGCUGGAGAAGGCGUGCGAGGACGGAGACACUGUCAUGGCGGAGUGUCUCAUUGAGCUCGGAGCCGAUGUCAACAAAAAGACCAAAACGGAGUCUCUCAUCUACCAGGUGUGCCAAAAGGGAGGCCCUUUAGAGCUCCUGGAGCUGCUGUUGAGCCAAGGCGCCCACGAACAGCACCUCCGCCGGGCCCUGGCCGUCAGCGUGAAACGUGGCGACGGGCCGAUGGUCAUCCAGCUGCUGGGCCGCCUGGGCCUGGAUCUCAACAACAAUGCCCUGUGCCUUGGCGGUUUCCGUCUGGGCCGUCUAGACUCCGCCUGGCUUAGCCCCCUGCUGGCCCAGAGAGGCAGGGCGCACAGUCUGCGCUACAGCAACAGUAAAGGAGCCAGCCUGGCGCGCUACAUUCACUCCUUACAAUGCUCCAGAACCCUGGGAUGUCCUCUUAGGUCUCUGGGGGACCCCUGUCUGACGUCUGGAUACAUCUCUGACAAGAGCGACGACUCCAGCUUCAGCUUCCUCUCCCUGGACGAAGGGCUCUUCCUCGACGACAUGGAGAGUGACGGGAGCGAUUCACUGACGUGGGCCUCCCUGAAGCCCCGCAACAACUCCACAGAGGAGCUGAGGGGUGGCUCAUUCAAGAGGAACCACGAACGCCGCAGACAUGCCAGCGCGGAGAGUUGUCCAAUAGACAGCGAACACCAUGAGCAAGCACACAGACGAUAUGGAAGACACCAAAAAACGUUGGGGUCUCUGGAGAGCUCGUCGGCGCUUCCCAAGGAGAAGGAGAGUAGGAUCCGCUUGCUGGACUUGUCGGAGAAUGAGCUGGACUGCGUGUCGUGCCUGAUGGACCAUGGGCCGGUUCAGCAGCAGCUGGCUCACCUCCUGAGACUCGACCUGAGCCACAACGUCCUGCUGGAGUUCCCUCCUGCGCUCUGUCAGAGUUUAAGCAGCCUUACCCAACUGGACCUGCAGGGCAACCAACUUCAGACCCUUCCAGCACAGCUCCUGGCGCUGCCAGCGCUUGCGACUCUCAAUGUGUCGCGCAACUGCAUCGGCCCGCACCUCGCCUUAAACACGUCAGCCGCCUGUCCGUCACUGCGGCAGCUCAACUUGUCCUUCAACAAGCUGACCGCCUUCCCACGCCAGCUGGGCCGCGCCACCGAGCACCUGGAGGAGCUGCUCAUGGAAGGGAACAGCGUGGCCGAGCUCUGCACACCCCCGCCACACCUCCCCGAGAUCAAACUGCUGGAUGUAAGCAAGAAUGACAUGACGGACAUCUUUCCCAACUUCCUGAUGGGCUGCCCAAAGCUGGAGGUCUUCAACGCCUCCUCCAACAAAAUAGGUUUCCUGGCACAGCUGCCGUCAAAGCUCACCACCCUGAAACUUGCCAACAACAAUUUUACUGCCGUCUCUGAUGCCAUACUCUGCCUACCUAACUUGAGAUCGGUGGACAUGAGGACCAAUCGCAUCGCUGUGUUGCCGGGCCCGUCUUCGUGGGCGUCCAGCAACCUGCGCGAGCUGAUGUUCAGCCACAACAUCAUCGCCACUCUGGAUUUAAGUGGGCCCGUCCACAAGUGGACCCGACUGGAGAAGCUACACUUGAGCAACAACAAGCUCACUGAGAUUCCGCCGCAGGUCGGUCUGCUGGAGGGUCUCACUUCCCUGGACAUGAGUCGCAAUGCCGGCCUGCGCUCCUUCCCUGAUGAGAUGGGCAGGCUGAGCCGACUGUGGGACCUCCCGUUGGACGGACUACGACUCCAGCUGGACCUCAAACUGAUCGGAAGCAAGACCAAAGACAUUGUCAGGUUUCUGCAGCAGCGUCUGAAGAAAGCCGUUCCAUACUACCGAAUGAAGCUCAUCGUGGUGGGGAACGCCGGCAGCGGAAAGAGCAGCCUUGUCCAGAAGCUGAUGAAGAUCAAGCGUUCGCAACAGGCCUCUUCCAGGCAGAUGGCUGGUGCCAUUGUGGACGUACGCGACUGGACCAUCAGGGAGCGGGACAAGAAGAAGAUGGUGCUGAACGUCUGGGACUUCUCAGGUGGCGAUGAGCUGUGCUGCUCGCAGCCUCACUUCCUGUCCUCCAGAGCUCUCUACCUGGUGGUGCACGACAUGAGCAGAGGAGCUCAGCAGCUGGAUGCGCUCAAGCCCUGGCUCUUCAAUAUCAAGGCCGUGGCUCCGCUCUCUCCGGUCAUCCUGGUGGGAACUCACCUGGAUGUGAGCGACGACACGGCGUUCCAGGCCUGCUUCACCAAGAUCCGCGAGGAGCUGCUCAGCCACCAGGGCUUCCCGACCAUCCAGGAGUACUUCACGAUGUCGGCCUACGAGGACUCGGACGCUGUCGUGCGGCUGCGCAAAGCCAUCGCCAAGGAGGCCACAGAUUUCAAGAUCCAAGGUCAGCCCGUGAUGGGCCAGCUGGUUCCAGACAGCUAUGUGGAGCUGGAGCGCAAGCUUCUCCAGGAGAGGACCAGGGUUCCGACGGAGUUCCCUGUUCUCAUGCGGCACCAGCUGCUGGAGCUUAUCCAGGAAAGUCAGCUGCCAUUGGAGGAGGCGGAGCUUCCCCAUGCCAUCCAUUUCCUCAGCCAAGCCGGGGUCUUGUUGCACUUUGACGAUCCCACCCUCCAAAUGCAGGACCUUUACUUCAUCGAUCCACAGUGGCUGUGCAAUGUCCUCUCACAGAAAUUGACCGUUAAGUCAUCCGUCCAGCCCCGAGGAAUAGUUCAGUGCUCAGCAGUGGAAAAUUUUAUGCUAGAGACCAAAUGUUUCCCUGCCAGUCACGCCACACACUACUUGAAACUGCUGCAGAAAUUCCAGAUUGCGCUGCCUUUUGGACACGACCAGCUGCUUGUGCCCAGCAGUUUACCCAAAGACAAGCCGAGCAUUGAGCUGCCUCACUGCGAGAACUCGGAGGUGAUCGUGCGAGACUACGAAAUGCCCUACUUCCCCGUGGACUUCUGGUCCCGACAGAUCAGCCGCUUGCUGGAGGUCUCUGCUUACUUGCUCCACGGAAGAGAGAAAGCGUGUCCGCCUGAAAGAAUUUGCUGGAACCGAGGCGUGUACUUGAGCUGGUCCCCAGAGGCCUACUGCCUGGUGGAGGCGGCGUCGCGGCAGGAAGACACCUCCAGCGUGCUCAAGAUCACUGUGCCCUCCUCGCGCAAAGGCCGGGUGCUCCUGGGCCAGGUAGUGGACCAGGUGGACUCGCUGCUGGAGGAGUGGUUCCCUGGCCUGCUGAGCACGGACGUGCACGGCAACGGAGAGGCGCUCCUUAAGAAGUGGGCUUUCUACAGCUUCCAGGACGGACACGAGUGGCGCAAGAUGCUGCUGGAGGAUCUCUUUGCCUAUUUCGACCAGGACUUUCUUCUGGUGAACCCAGAAGACCCUCGCUGCACCGUUCCCCUCUCUCAGGUCGCGCCGGAUGUGGUCCUCAGUGACCAACCUGCUGGGACCAUCCUAGAUAGUGACGAGCUCCACGUGGAUCUCUCCAAAACCAACCUCCUCGGGAACGGCGGCUUUGGCACGGUGUACCGAGGUGUCUACAAGAAUGAGGAAGUGGCUGUCAAGUUAUUCAACAAGCACGCGUCUGAACUUUACAUCCACAGACUCCUCAGACAGGAGCUGGUGGUGCUGGGUCGCCUGCGGCACCCCAGUCUGGUGGGCCUGCUGGCGGCGGGCUCGGCUCCGCACGUCCUGGUCAUGGAGCUCGCCAUGCUGGGCUCCCUGGACUCCCUGUUCCAGCACAAGAAAGGAAGCCUGAAUAGGAAGCUCAGGCACAGGAUCGCUCUGCACGUGGCCGACGGACUGCGGUACCUGCACUCGGCCAUGAUCAUCUACCGCGACCUGAAGCCUCACAACGUGCUCCUGUUCAACCUGAAGACGGAUGCCGACGUCAUCGCCAAGAUCACCGACUACGGCAUCGCUCAGUAUUGCUGCAGCAUGGGGGUCCGCAGCUCGGAGGGCACGCCAGGUUUCCGCGCACCAGAGGUAGCCAGAGGGAACGUAACGUACAACCAACAGGCCGACGUCUUCUCGUUCGGGCUGCUUCUCUACGACCUGCUGACGGGCGGCGAGCGCAUCUGUGACGGCAUCAAGUUCCCCAGCGAGUUUGACGAGGUGGCCGUGCAGGGAACGCUACCAGAUCCGGUAAAGCACUACGGCUGCUCCCCUUGGCCUGGUUUCCAGGCUCUGAUGAAGGAAUGUCUGAAGGUUAAUCCUCAUGAUCGACCCACGUCUGCACAGGUGUUCGCCAAGCUCAACUCGGGCGAGAUUUUGUGUCUGAUGAGGGAGCUACCGCUGCCCAGGCCCGUAAACGCCGAGUGCGUGGCCGUGGGCUCGACUCUGAGCGCUCGAACGGCCUGGCUGGGAGGAGGCAGCAGCACCCAGAGGACGGGAUCCGUCACUGUCGUGGACCUGGACUCCGACGACGUCACCACGCAGGUGAUCGACACCAGUCCCGUUCUGUGCUUGGUGAUGGUGCAGAUCCCCGGCGAGGCUUCUGAUUGGCUGGUGGCCGGCAUGCAGUCCGGCUCGCUGGUGGUCCUCAGCAGCGAGGACGCGUCCACGUGGUACCGCUUGAACAACGUCACUGACGCAGUCACCUCCCUAUACUUCCAUGUAAACCACCCACGCCUGCAAAGAAAGAGCUACUUGCUGGUUGGCACAGCUGACGGCCUUCUCACCAUUUACGAGGAUUCUGCACUCAAGGAUUUUGGUCAGCCGGUGAAAUCCGUGGUCCUGGGCACGGUCAACACUCCUGUGGUGUGCACGGGCACGUCGUCGUACUCUCCGGACGGGCGCAGCGUUUGGACCGGCUGCGGUACCAGGAUCCUGUCCUUCAGCGCCGACUACGAUGUGAGCCGGAACAUCGACACCCGGAACGUCGUCACGCUCCCGCAGCAGCCGCGCGGCGAGGCCAGCGUGUGGCGCAUGGCGGUGGAUAAGUACGUGUACCUCAGCAAAGCCGGCAUGGCCACCGUGGAGGUUUGGGACAAGAGGAGCGAGCGCAUGGUGGACUGCAUUGACUGCGCACAAAUCAUUCGACACGAGUGCGGCCCCGGAGGAGGGGGCCACUCCGGCGAGGCGGACGCGACCGCCGACGGCUCUCCGUCCUGGGCCCGGUGGGCGCGGGUCAAGUCCCUGCUGGUGGGGCCGGACUCGGCCACGCUGUGGGUGGGCACCCGAGAGGGCCACCUGCUGCUUCUGGAGCUCGGCAACAAGCACCACGCUCUGCGGGUCAUCCCACCGCGAUGCCGCUCGCUGCAAUGCAUUGCCUCUGCAUUCACGGAGACUCUAAACUGGAAGAACGUGGUGCUGGUGUUGGGCAGAAGACGAACGCAGGAGAAGACCGAGUGGGUGUGGACUUGUUUCGCCAGACGCGCAGUCGGUGCUGAUGGUGUGGAACGGCACGCUGCCCUCAGAGGCCAAAGACUUGAACAAACACGGUGAGAGGCGAGAACACAUCGCGGCCAGGAUGAGAGAACAGCUACACAACCGCGACUGAACAUGCAGGAACGUUGAUGGGAAAGGGAUUCACUUGACCGCAGCGAUUUCUUUGAGUGAAAGAGGAAUCCUUAAAUUCUGAACAAAUCCAAAAUCCUAAAAAUAUUGAGGAGUCAUUCUGGACUAAAUGAAGACAAGAGAGAUUGAUUUUAAAGGGACACAAGGGGACACAAGUACUGUACAUCAGGGCCCACGAUCAACGACAGCUUAGUUUUUGUUUUUUUUUACAUUUCCAUUGAUUUAAAACCCCCCCAAAACUUUAGCAUUAGCCACCAUGCUAAUCACGUCAGCAAUGACAGAAAAUAGAUGGUUGGAUGGAAUUUCAAGUUGUGAAUGUCACUCAAAUGAUUGACUUAAUAAACACUACACUGUUUUUAUUAGAAUGGUCUCGUCCCCAUCUAUGGUUGUCAUCGCACUUUUUUCAAGUGUAAAAAUAACUUCACCACUGUUAAAUUAUAACUAAAGAAAAAUAACUCACUCAGGGGCGGGCAAAGUACGGUCCGCUCAGUUCUUUACUCCGACCCACUGAGUAUUUACGGUCAACAGUCUUUAGCCAUUU